AUGAACUAAAAUAAUAAUGACAAAAUUCAACCUACAACUUUUGACACUUAACUGUAACAAGGAAACUAAGCAAAGAAAUGAUUAAUAUUUGACCCCAAAAAUACAAACAUUAGGGAAAGAAGAAAAUAUGACUAUGUCUAGAUAAUUACCAAACAUUGCCUUGUCAUUAAUCAACCCAACAUGUUUGCAAACACAAAGG
rnacentral:lncRNA from 1 species